GACAUAAGUAACGAUAAAGCGGGUGAAAAGCCCGCUCGCCGGAAGACCAAGGGUUCCUGUCCAACGUUAAUCGGGGCAGGGUGAGUCGACCCCUAAGGCGAGGCCGAAAGGCGUAGUCGAUGGGAAACAGGUUAAUAUUCCUGUACUUGGUGUUACUGCGAAGGGGGGACGGAGAAGGCUAUGUUAGCCGGGCGACGGUUGUCCCGGUUUAAGCAUGUAGGCUGGUUAUCCAGGCAAAUCCGGAUAACCAAGGCUGAGGUGUGAUGACGAGGCACUACGGUGCUGAAGUAACAAAUGCCCUGCUUCCAGGAAAAGCCUCUAAGCAUCAGGUAACAUCAAAUCGUACCCCAAACCGACACAGGUGGUCAGGUAGAGAAUACCAAGGCGCUUGAGAGAACUCGGGUGAAGGAACUAGGCAAAAUGGUGCCGUAACUUCGGGAGAAGGCACGCUGGUGUGUAGGUGAAGUCCCUGCGGAUGGAGCUGAGACCAGUCGAAGAUACCAGCUGGCUGCAACUGUUUAUUAAAAACACAGCACUGUGCAAACACGAAAGUGGACGUAUACGGUGUGACGCCUGCCCGGUGCCGGAAGGUUAAUUGAUGGGGUUAUCCGUAAGGAGAAGCUCUUGAUCGAAGCCCCGGUAAACGGCGGCCGUAACUAUAACGGUCCUAAGGUAGCGAAAUUCCUUGUCGGGUAAGUUCCGACCUGCACGAAUGGCGUAAUGAUGGCCAGGCUGUCUCCACCCGAGACUCAGUGAAAUUGAACUCGCUGUGAAGAUGCAGUGUACCCGCGGCAAGACGGAAAGACCCCGUGAACCUUUACUAUAGCUUGACACUGAACAUUGAGCCUUGAUGUGUAGGAUAGGUGGGAGGCUUUGAAGCGUGGACGCCAGUCUGCGUGGAGCCAACCUUGAAAUACCACCCUUUAAUGUUUGAUGUUCUAACGUUGGCCCCUGACCGGGGUUGCGGACAGUGUCUGGUGGGUAGUUUGACUGGGGCGGUCUCCUCCCAAAGCGUAACGGAGGAGCACGAAGGUUAGCUAAUCCUGGUCGGACAUCAGGAGGUUAGUGCAAUGGCAUAAGCUAGCUUGACUGCGAGCGUGACGGCGCGAGCAGGUGCGAAAGCAGGUCAUAGUGAUCCGGUGGUUCUGAAUGGAAGGGCCAUCGCUCAACGGAUAAAAGGUACUCCGGGGAUAACAGGCUGAUACCGCCCAAGAGUUCAUAUCGACGGCGGUGUUUGGCACCUCGAUGUCGGCUCAUCACAUCCUGGGGCUGAAGUAGGUCCCAAGGGUAUGGCUGUUCGCCAUUUAAAGUGGUACGCGAGCUGGGUUUAGAACGUCGUGAGACAGUUCGGUCCCUAUCUGCCGUGGGCGCUGGAGAAUUGAGGGGGGCUGCUCCUAGUACGAGAGGACCGGAGUGGACGCAUCACUGGUGUUCGGGUUGUCAUGCCAAUGGCACUGCCCGGUAGCUAAAUGCGGAAGAGAUAAGUGCUGAAAGCAUCUAAGCACGAAACUUGCCCCGAGAUGAGUUCUCCCUGAGACUAUAAGUCUCCUGAAGGAACGUUGAAGACGACGACGUUGAUAGGCCGGGUGUGUAAGCGCAGCGAUGCGUUGAGCUAACCGGUACUAAUGAACCGUGAGGCUUAACCUU
rnacentral:rRNA from 1 species